rnacentral:rRNA from 1 species
CACGGGGGGAGCAAGCGUUGUUCGGAUUCAUUGGGCGUAAAGGGCUCGUAGGUGGCUUUGUAAGUCGGAGGUGAAAUCCCACGGCUCAACCGUGGACACGCCUUCGAAACUGGGAAGCUUGAGGCUGGGAGAGGAGAUCGGAAUUCCUGGUGUAGCGGUGAAAUGCGUAGAUAUCAGGAGGAACACCGGUGGCGAAGGCGGAUCUCUGGACCAGUUCUGACACUGAUGAGCGAAAGCCAGGGGAGCAAACAGG